GAUGAAGAACGUAGCGAAAUGCGAUAAGUAAUGUGAAUUGCAGAAUUCAGUGAAUCAUCGAAUCUUUGAACGCACAUUGCGCCCCUUGGUAUUCCGAGGGGCAUGCCUGUUCGAGCGUCAUUAUUACCCCUCAAGCUCAGCUUGGUGUUGGGGCCUGCUGCACUGGCAGCCCUUAAAAUCAGUGGCGGCGCCAUCUGGCUCUAAGCGUAGUAAUUCUUCUCGCUAUGGAGUCCUGGUGGAUGCUUGCCAUCAACCCCCAAUUUUUCUAUGGUUGACCUCGGAUCAGGUAGGGAUACCCGCUGAACUUAAGCAUAUCAAUAAGCGGAGGA
rnacentral:misc_RNA from 1 species